GGAGAAGCCUACGAGGAAAGUACUUGCAGUAUUUGAUUGCAAUUUUGAGACUCCUUGUGAGCUGGAAUAUUCCUUUUCCUCGAAAGAUCAGGAAAGCCCCAACAAAGCCUGGCUGAGAGUGAGUGCAGAGGAUAUUUCACAGCUGAACAUCCCGGGUGGACCAGAGAGAGAUCACUCUGAGAAUACACCAAAAGGUUCUUUCCUGUUCCUUAAUGCGUCUGAGAGCCCUGUCAUCCUGAGCCCUUGGCUGAGAAGCAGCAGUGACCAAUGUGUAGUUCAAGUGGCUGUUUAUAAGUUUUUCCAGCAAAGUGGAGAAUAUAUUGCUCGGAUCCUUCCUAUUGACGGCAGCAGCAGUGAAAUUUUGACAGAGCAGAAUCCAGAAAAACGUGGAGAAUAGUGACUGGGAAACAAAGUACAAGAUCAACAGGCACAGACCAGAUGUAUAGAAGGGUCUGAAGGGAAAGGCUGCUUGAUACUUAGUUUUGCAUGCUUAACAAUAAAAUGGUUCUUUCACUCUGAAAUAAAUUUAAAGGGGAGCAAGGUUCAAAGUAUUCAAUUGAAGUUUCAGGAAUAACGUGAUGCUUUUCUGGUUCUUUUCAUUUUCAAGGCCUAUAUCAAGAGCAGCAAAGCUUACUUCAGUAAGUCAUUAAUAAUACGCAUUUUGUUAUUUGUGUAGCCUGUUACAUUGCAAAUGAGGUUCAUACCACUGAAGAUCUGAGCAUAUAGCUGAAAGAAAAAUUGGCACUGUGGCUACUAUUGAGCCUGAAGUGUCACUGAUCCAAUAGUGUCAGUAAGUCAGUCUGCUUUGUUAAAAGAAAACAGCAGUGAAGACAGAUCUCUAGCCAACGGAGCAUCUUCUACGUGUGCAGGAUGAUUGAGGUAGAAAGGCAUAUCAGGAAAUUACCUAGUCCAACACCCCUGCUCCAAGCAGAGUACUUCUCCAGGUUAAGCAAUCCUAUCUCUAGCAACCUGGUCUCAUAUGUCACAUGCUCCAGCCUGUUAUUAUGCAUACAUCACACAAGCUAUUCCUAUAACUUAGCAACGUGUCUGGAAGCUGUUUCUCCUCCUAUUACUGGAGAACUGAGAAAUGUUUCUCCUACUGCUAGGAGUCAUGUCUGAGUUAUCACAAGAAGGAUGUUUAUGGAGGCUGUGUUCAGGGCUUCUAGCGAAGACAGCCUGCCCUCUCUACUAAAAAGUAUUGCUGAUCACAGAGGUUGCCAAAUCCACAACUCUGACCACAGGCUACAAUUUCUUGUGUCUUUUGUGAUGUGCUCUUGUGUUGCGUCUCUGAUUCUCCACCUUCAUAUCAACCAAACAUCAUGAAGCUUUAUUCAGCAACAUGUUGAGGGCUGCAACGUGGUGUUCCCCGGCAUCUCAUUUUCAAGCUCUGGGCACAGCAUGCUGCAGUGCUCUGCUAAAAUUCUGAUAGGACUCAGUCCAGAAGUAACUGCAUUAUGUUGGUGCAUCGUUAUGGUGAGGGAAAUAAAGCUGAAUUUUUAGUCAGAGUUUAGUAAAAAUCAGUUUGGUUUAUUUGUCCAUUUUACUGCAUGUGAUUGAACAGAAAUUCCCCCAAGGAGGAGGGAAUCUCUUGUGUGUGUCUUUGAGCCAACACUAUUAUUUUCUGUAUAACGGUUGCUGUUAGAGAAAUAAAUGUUUUAAG
rnacentral:lncRNA from 7 species